rnacentral:lncRNA from 1 species
GAGCAUAGCAGGAGUGGAGAGCCCUUGGUGCGGAGGAGAGGGCUGCGCUUGCGGUUUCGCUGUGUGUCCAUCAGAUGGCAAUGUCGAGACGCUGCUGCCGUGGGCCAGGCGGAUUUCCGGACCACAGCCCCAAAAGUUCUGGCCCCGCAGGAAUCGGGCGGACCCUGGGCCCUCCUUUGAAGGUGCUCCUGCAGAUUAAGUCGGGGACUCCUUGACGGAAAUUUCUGUGGCGGACUCAGCUGACAGCUGAGAGGAAGAGAUGCAUCUGGCUCCACUCCGAGCUUGUUACUUAGCUGUGUGACCUUUCCGUGUGCCCCCCACCCCCCGCCCCCCAACCACUUGUAAAACGCAGGUGAUGAAGACGAUGUGGUGAAGUUCGCUUCAAGGCUGAAAGGGUUAGGGUUCAAGGAUCGUCUGCUCUGAAUCAAAGGCUAUUAGAGAGUUCGCUCCGUUCCGGUGGAGAGGAGCCCGGCCCCAUCUCGUGAUUUGGGAACUGGCCAUGGUAGAAGUUGGCCCCGGAGCGGGACUGAUAUCUCUGCUUACUCAGGUGUUCUUCCAGGAGGCGGACGUGACCAGUGAGGAAAGACUGGAGCUUCUAAUUAAAGUGUUCUUACAGCAUGUGUGUCAUGGAAGGCCGCUCUGAGGUGACACUGAGCAGAAACUGAGCUGGUUAGAGGCACCACCACACUGAGGUCUGGGAGGAGAUCUCGACAGAUGAAGAGCAAGUCAUCAGAAGUCCAGGGAGCGAGCUCCUGACUCCAGGUUCCUGCCCUGUUUGAGUUUCUGUCCUGAUAUCCUUCAGUGAUGGAGAAUGAUGUGGAAGUGUAAGCCAAACAAAAAAGUCUCCUCCCCAAGUUGCUUUGGUCUUGGUGUUUCAUCACAGCAGUAAAUGAGAAUCUGG